AUUGAACGCUGGCGGCAUGCCUUACACAUGCAAGUCGAACGGAAACAGGUCUUCGGAUGCUGACGAGUGGUGGACGGGUGAGUAAUACAUCGGAACGUGCCCGAUCGUGGGGGAUAACGAGGCGAAAGCUUUGCUAAUACCGCAUACGAUCUACGGAUGAAAGCGGGGGAUCUUCGGACCUAGCGCGGACGUUGCGGUCGAUGGCAGAUUAGGUAGUUGGUGGGAUAAAAGCUUACCAAGUCGACGAUCUGUAGCUGGUCUGAGAGGAUGAUCAGCCACACUGGGACUGAGACACGGCCCAGACUCCUACGGGAGGCAGCAGUAGGGAAUUUUGGACAAUGGGCGAAAGCCUGAUCCAGCCAUGCCGCGUGCAGGAUGAAGGCCUUUGGGUUGUAAACUGCUUUUGUACGGAACGAAAAGCCUCUUUCUAAUAAAGAGGGGUCAUGACGGUACCGAAAGAAUAAGCACCGGCUAACUACGUG
rnacentral:rRNA from 1 species